AUAAAACUUUAUUUUUCUAUCUGCUUUAAGUGCUUUUCUUUCAUCCGCUCCUUCAAUUUGGAUUCCUUGACCAGUUUCCUUCCGAGGCAAAGGCAUGCCGAUUCAGUUCUUCUCCCAUCAGAUAAGUGGUUUCUUCUCUAUCAAGAGCAUUCUUUGCUAGUCUAUGUGCAUGCGAGUUCUUUGAUCUAUGAAUAUGCUGAAAAAUAAGUUCUUGAAAACAUGUCUGUUGAAGUCGUCUGACAUUUUUUUUAUUAUUGUUUUAGAGUCCCCCAUGAGUUUAACUGAUUGAGUUCUUAGUGAAAUCCCUAACUUUGUACCCUCUAAACAUGCAUAUGCUUCUGCUGCGAAAGGUGAGGGGACAUUGCUAUGAAUAACCGUCUUUAACACUAGUAAAUUUCCCCUCAAGUCCCAUCCUACCAGACCUGUCGCUGAUUUGAGGGUUUUAUUGUCGAACGCUGCACCAAAAUAGAUCGUUGUUCUCGGCAUGUCCUCAUGUAUUCUAUAACUUCUGUUCAUUUUUCCAUUAUUCGUCAAAACUCUUAUUCCUUCAUAUUCUGCCAUAUACCUCUGAACGUUUUGUGCUAAAACCCUUCCUGUUGUAUUUUUCCCCUCAUGUAUGAGUUGGUUUCUGGAGAACUAUAUCAGCCAUAAAGCAUAACAGAAGAGUCGACAUUGGUCGUUGUUGCUUCUCUUAAAAACCCAGGGCAUUCUCGGAAGACAUGAAGGCUUUCUUCUGCCCAGAAGCAACAACGAGGGCAUCUAUCAUUUGAAGUGACUUUCCUGUACUUGAGAUUAGCAAGAUUAGGGAUAUAAUCUCAGGAAAUCUGCCAAAUAGUAAUUACAAUUUUUAAAGGCAGUUGUAGGCUCCAUAAUUUCUUGUAAAAUUCUUUUAUUUCGGUCUGUAAUAAAUAAUUAAUAGGAUUCAGAUUAGCAUCUUGUAAUAGUUUAUAGGCACUGCGUAUUGAAAACUCGCUAGAUAAUUCUCCUUUCCAAACUUGAGUAUCCUCGUGCUCAGUCUCUGCAAGAGGGAUCUGUAGAAUUUUUUGAGCAGUUUUCUCUUGAAAGUUGUCUUCCUAGAUAGAAAUGUUGUCUCCUCUGCCCACUCUGCAACACAUUCCUUUUUGAAGAAGUCCCUUUGCUGCCUAGAUCUCUUCUAGGUAAGUGAAGGUAAAUUUCCCAACUCUACCUUUAGGAAGCUUGAAUGCGAAAAAUAUUUUGCUUUUAAAACUCUGGCUAAUAAAGGAUUUGGAUAAUUUAUGAGACGCUAACCUUUUUUAGGUAAUAACGCAAUAUUAAAUUGACCAAGAUUUUGAAAACCUAAGCCACCAUUUUCUUUUAAAGAACAAAGGUUUUUCCAAGUGCACCAAUGAAUUCCCCUUUUACCUUGUCUC